GAAGUUGUUGUGAAACCAAAUUAGCAACAUGGAAAAAUGCCAUUUUUAGAAGGUCAUAGAAUAGUUACUACAUAUUUUACGUCAUGCCUACUGUGCUUGUGUGGUAAGAAUAAGGAACCAGCACCUGCAAUCUGGGCUACUUAGGAUGCUGAGGCAGGAGGAUGAUCACUUGAGUUCUGGUAGUAAUGUGAGCCUGGGCAACAUAGUGAAACCCCACAUUAAUUUAAAAAAAAAAAAAAAAAAAAAGGUUUUACCAAUAUUAGUCUGAAUCUGUUUAGGUAGGUCUAGAUUUCAUCCAGCUUAAAAUAAAAGUAGCAUCCCCAGAAAUGUGGCCAGCUAACACAAAUUUCCAAGAAUGUCCUUAAAGCAUUCAACACCUUAGAAGCAGUCAUCACAAAGUAAACUUUCUUCCUCUGUUUUAGGGGUUUUGUUGUUGUUGUUUGUUUGUUUGUUUGUUUGUUUUGAAAAGGUCUUGCUAGGUAGCCCCCAGCUAUUGACUUCUUAAUUUCUGCCUUUGUCACCAACUUUCACCUUAGCCUGUUUCAGUUGCAUCUUGAGGUGAAAGAUAAAACAGACCACUGUGCCGUGGGUGAUGGGAAUAGACAAGGGAUGCCACCACCAACCCGCCUGCCCCUCUUUGCUCUCACUGGAUCUGUGUGGUUUUGCCUUAUAAGUCAACUCCAGUAGCUUUUUGGUGUUCACGUGAAAUAUACUGAUCGUGAAAGCAAAGAGGUCUGUCCUUACCUGUGUAAGACUCAGAGUCUCUGGCAAGAUUGCACUUGGCAAGUGUCCACAUUUAAGGGACUUGGCUUUAGUGGGACAAAACUUGAAACUCCAAAUGCCUUCUUAGCCUGGAUUUUUACAAGCCUUCUCGUGUCAUGGGAUGUGAUGCCAAUUUAGGGAUCUGCUUGCCACUACAAGCUCCAUCUUGGUUUAGAUUUCUUCAUCUCACGAAUAUUUUCUUGAUCUAGAAAAGACUUCCUUUGAACCAGAUAUCGUAGCAUGUUCCUGUAAUCCCAGCACCCAGGAAGUGGAGGCAGAAAGAUCAGGUGUUCAAAGGGGACCCUGUGUGAAAACAAAACAAAACAAAAAUGGAGACAAGGAAGUGCAUUGGGGUAUUGGUAUGUAGAGGAUAUUCCUCAGAGUGCCAAAUGAGAGCCAUUUUACAUAGUGAAUUUUGACAGAGAUGCAACUUUCUAGUUAUGCAUUAACAAGAUGGUAAUGCCAUAGAGUUAUGCCUAAGUGAUUUCUUAAUGAGAUGUGAUAAUCAUGUAUUGGUAUUAGUAGAGUGGAUUUUAUUAACACGUUAAUCCAACUUUUCUAGCUUUAGUAAGAAAACAAGAUUUUGAAGUGCCAUGGGGAUGGCUGAUAUUACUAUUGUCAGUCUUUUGUUUAUGUUGCUGUAGCAUUUAUUGACGGCGUUCUCCUUUGCUCCUCCUCACACCCUUUUAAGAUAGAUAUUAUUACCUUCAUUUUUCAAGUGGGGAGACUAGGUCUGAGCAAAUUCAGUGGUCUUCAAGUUGGAGCACCUGCUGUAACUACCAUGUACUACAGUGCAUUUCUCCAGUGCUCCAACCCCUUGCCUUUCUGCCCAGACUUCCUCUUUAGAGGCCUUGCGUUUAGCCUUCGCUCCGGUGUGCUAAGACCUUAUGGUUACUUUGCUGUUGUUCUUGUUUUAUUGAUCUUAUGGUUACUUUGCUGUUGUUCUUGUUUUAUUGGUCUAAGAGGUGAGGGCCAUCAUCAUCAUCCAUCUUGUGAAUGACGAACGCUGUUCCUAAGUGGGUUGGUUCGUCAUAUGCUCAAAACAGCCCGGCUACUAAAUAGGAGGCCUUACCACAUGGCUUGAAUUUCUGUCUGUCUGUUUGGUUGGUUGGUUUUAAGACAGUGUCAAGCUCCUGAUUCUGUACUUCCUAAGUAAGAUUACAUACUCACAGCCCCACACUCCCCACACUCCCCACACUCGGGCUAACACAGGCUCACAGCCCCACAUUCGGAUGCGAUAGCACCUUAGAAGAUGAAUCUCAGCUAGUUUCUGUCUUUGGUGUUCCUUGCCUGUCAAGAUAGCAGGAGUACUUGUGGGUUACUACAUCCUUCUUGCUGCUCACCUCCAAAUGCCCUUUGCCUUGAACCCUAGAUCCUAUCAUUUCCCUUUAGCCAAACUCAGAACCUCAGAAGCCCCUGUCUGUCAGAGAGGGAGUGAAGAACAGUUUGGCUGACCUCUUAGGGUUCUUCUUAUCCCCAGUUUAAAGACCAAGUGCCAGAGAAUAUUUUUUUUUCUUCUGUUUUUCGAGACAGGGUUUCUCUGUAUAUCCCUGGCUGUCCUGGAACUCACUCAGUAGACCAAGUUGGCAUCAAACUCAGAAUUCCACCUGCCUCUGCCUCCCAAGUGCUGGGAUUGAAGGUGUGCACCACCACUGCCUGGCUGAGAACUUUUUUUUUUUUUUUAAAGAUUUCUUAUUUGUUUUUCAUUACAGGUGGUUGUGAGCCAUCAUGUGGUUGGUGGGAUUUGAACUCAUGACCUCCCGAAGAGAAGUGGAUGCUCUUUAACCACUGAGCCAUCUCACCAGCGAGAACAUUUUUUUUUAAAGAUAGGGUAUUGGUGACAGUUGGCGGGUCUCCCUACAGGAUGUGAUAUAGUCACAGUGAGUCUCCCUUUCUUUCUUUCUUUUUUAUUUUUUGUUUGUUUGUUUUUCGAGACAUGGUUUCUCUGUAACCCUGGCUGUCCUGGAACUCACUUUGUAGACCAGCUGGCCUCGAACUCAGAAAUCCGCCAGCCUCUGCCUCCCGAGUGCUGGGAUUAAAGGUGUGUACCAACACACCCGGCGAGUCUCCCUUUCUUAACCCCAUGAGGAUAAUCCUUCGCCACCAUGAUGUGCUCUCCUAACUCAUUUUGGGCACUGUUACCUACACACGUCCUCUUUUCAUAGACAAGGAAACUGAGAACAAACAAGGUACAAAAAAAAAAAAAAAAAAAAAAAAAAAAGAUAGGGUGUUGGUGGUCAUAGUGCACACCUUUAACCCUAGCCCUCUGGAGGCAGAGACAGGUAGAGGCAGAUCUCUGUGAGUUAGAGGCCAGCCUGGUCUACAGAGCUUGUUCUAGGACACCCAGGGCUACACAGAGAAAUCUUAUCUCAAAAAACCAAAAAAU
rnacentral:lncRNA from 1 species